GUCCACCUGACGAGUCCGAGAAUAAGACAAAACGUACGUCUUGGAU
rnacentral:hammerhead_ribozyme from 1 species